GUGCUUGCUUGGGCAGCACAUAUACUAAAAUUGGAAUAAUACGGAGAAGAUUAACAUGGCCCCAUGCAAGGAUGACAUGCAAAUCUGUGAAGCGUUCCAUAUUAAA
ensembl:snRNA U6 U6 spliceosomal RNA